GGCAGCGUAACAUCUUGGCUUUGGUGCUGCACAAAGAUUCCUCCAGAGCAGUUUCUUCACUUUGACGCACCGCGAUACAGGCAUCAAAAACAAGUGCAGUGCACCCUCUAGCUUGAACCUUGCUUCCGCCACCCAUACGCAGGACGCACCGCAGUAUAGGCAUCGAAAGAAGGCCGAAAACACCCGUGAGCCCCUUCCCUUGCCGAAAUCUCUUCUCCUCUUUCAUCCCUGUGAACAUGCUUCUUUUUUGUCUCCUUGGACCUGCACUGUUUGUUAACACAAAGGCAAAUGGAGGUGUAUUUGGUUGUUUUGGUUUUUGAUUUUGGUGGGCAACAAUGAGGGAUUUGAGGCUUUGUGAGUUGUGAUGGUGUUGUUGGCAUAUUUGGCCGGAGUGGUUUAUUUGGGGAACGGAAGGCUUGUUUCUGGUGCUUAGAAGCAGAGGCAAGUCUACACUUUAGCAACGAUGAAAGGAAAUAGUAGGAAAAGACCAUGGAAUCAGCAGGAUACCUGACUUUAAAGCUCCUUGCCGGGUCGUCAUCUCCAGCCUUGUGCUCUUUAUAUAGGAGGCAGUGAAGACUCUGGAGGGCUGGAUAAGCCUUCAUUUGAAAUUCAAAUUUCGCGAAGCUCACGAAGAUAAGCUGACCAGAGACCUCAUCUUUGACACCGAGAUUGAACUAGGACGCACUCUGCUACUUCAUUCUUAUCUCAAAUUGAGAUAUUUGAGUUAAAAUUUGAAUGCCUCCCUUUGUUUCUGUUUUGUAGUAUCCACGUUAGAAGUAGGUCAACAUUCAACUUCUUGUUUGAAUAUGAAUAAGAUAAAUGUAACUAAAGCAAUUUUUUUAAUUGCUGCCACUAUUUUUCUUC